ACGGCAGCGCGGGGCAACCUGGCGGCGAGUGGCGAACGGGUGAGUAAUAUAUCGGAACGUACCCUGGAGUGGGGGAUAACGUAGCGAAAGUUACGCUAAUACCGCAUACGAUCUAAGGAUGAAAGUGGGGGACCGCAAGGCCUCACGCUCGUGGAGCGGCCGAUAUCUGAUUAGCUAGUUGGCGGGGUAAAAGCCCACCAAGGCAUCGAUCAGUAGCUGGUCUGAGAGGACGACCAGCCACACUGGAACUGAGACACGGUCCAGACUCCUACGGGAGGCAGCAGUGGGGAAUUUUGGACAAUGGGCGCAAGCCUGAUCCAGCAAUGCCGCGUGAGUGAAGAAGGCCUUCGGGUUGUAAAGCUCUUUUGUCAGGGAAGAAACGGUUUGGGCUAAUAUCCCGGGCUAAUGACGGUACCUGAAGAAUAAGCACCGGCUAACUACGUGCCAGCAGCCGCGGUAAU
rnacentral:rRNA from 1 species